rnacentral:rRNA from 1 species
CACCGCGGUUAUACGAGAGACCCAAGUUGACAGUCGCCGGCGUAAAGCGUGGUUAGGUCAUUCCUAAACUAAAGUCGAAUGCUUCCCCUGCUGUUAUAAGCAUAUGGAAGUAAGAAGCUCAACCACGAAAGUGACUUUAUAGAACUGAACCCACGAAAGCUAAGAAA